UUGGGGCGGCGCAGAGUUAAACCGCAGAAAUGAGCGUUCCCGCCAAGUGGCAUCGACGAUGAGUCAAUGACUACUACUGGCCGUCGUCGCCUUCGACCGGUCGCUCCCUCUUCUCCGUGGACCUAUUCACGACGGCGAAGGUCAAUGGGCCCUCGAACUCAGUGACGCCGAUUCCUUGGCCUCGGCAUACAAAGCUUGCGGAUCCACACUCGUCCAGUAAUCCGAGGCUGGCGAGUGAAAUCGGCUGCGCCGUUAGCUUCUUCGGCAGGUUCAAGCCGCUCUGGUGGCAUCCCCCCUCGGUCGGCCUCAAACCGACGGAGGAGAAUGCGAAGAUCGAGAAAUGGCGCUGUCUCGAGGCUUACAGAGCCAAUUGCUCGAAAUUUGCCACGGACAAGAGUCGGCCCGUGUUGAGCGUCUCGCGAAUCGCUAUCAAUCAUGGGAAGGUGAACUGGGAAGAGGCGUCCACGUUAAUCUGUUGGGCGUCGUCUCCAUUGAGGAGAUUAAGGUUUUGUUUUAUAGGAUUGGACCAUUUGGGCGCCAGGUUAAAGAUCGGCUCCGAGUGACAAACUUUAGAGGGUUUGAAUUGAUAAGCACUUCCACUCGAGAUAGAGAAUUCUCGAAGGCGGAAGUAGUUGAUUUCAGCGACAACGGAGUAUAUAGGUUCUAAUUUCAGCCCAUUCUUUAAGAGUCCAUCCGUCCAACUUCUUGGUGAAGGUUCUAUAUUUCUGAUAUGAACUUUUGGUGUUUACAUGAAUAAUAUAGGUAAUAAAUUUCAGCUAAUUUUUCAACUUGUUCUAUAAAGCAUAUAUAUAUAUAUAUGUGCGUGUGUGCAUAAACUUGAACUUAAAAGCCUUUCUAUUUGACGUUUACUUCCACUGUUGCUGGCAUUGUUACCUUCACAGCCAUAUCCACUUUCCUCAUUUGAUCUAUGUUUGCUGCCAGUGCAGUCCUGUUUGCUGCAUUACUUGAUCAUCUACUUGAAUCUCUAAAACCGGAUUACCUAUAGCAUUUUUGCCAGUGCAGUCCGGGUGCUUCUUACCAUCCGCCUUCCUAGAAUUUGUUUAUGAUUGUGAUUAAUUCUUGUGUUUUUAUAAGGGUAAGGGGCAGAGACAUCUUAUUACACAGCUUGCCAGGAUUUACUGUGAUGAUUACGAUUGGUCCUUGUAUUCUUGUAGGACCAAAGUGGCAGAAGGUGUUGAUUUUAAUAGACACCAUGGAAGACUUCUUGUCAAGUUUGGAGUUCCUUUUCAGUAUACGUUAAGCAGUAUGGUUCACAUGCUGUGGGUCCAACUGGUUGUGGGGCGAAGAAACUGUACUACUGUAUGAUGGUCAUUGUAAAUUGCAUCUCACCCCUGCCAUUAAGGAACUGAAACUGUGCAUGUGGUGACUCUGAGUAAAGUUUGUAAAACAUGCAAUUUAAUUCCUUGGUGUUCUGAUGAGCGAUGACCAAUCUCUUACAAUUUGUUCCGGUACAGUCGUCAGGGCAGACAUUCAAAUAAGUUGCUGGAUCCUCAUCUAAGCUUAAAGUACCAAAAUGGCUGCACUUGUAGGACAGGAGGUGUGUCUUCUCUACCAUUCAAUUUAAACAUUUUUGCUCUGUGAAUGCCUGCAAGUAUAUUUAGGGAGCAGUGGUAAAUAGCAAGAGGAUGUGAAAGGUUUUCGGAUAGGGUCUACUGGGCUAAACUAAAUAAUGACCAACUUGGAAAAGUCUAUUAUGUGGAAUUUCCUGUCAAUCAAACGAGUAUGUGAACAGUGAAUUCGAGACCAAUAGGCCGAAGAAAACUAGAUAAGAUGGGCCAACCAGGAGCCAGGACUAGUGCAUAUAAGGAUUUCAUGGGCCUCCUUCCAGUUAGUAAUUGCUUGGAAAUGGAAGCUGAAGCUCUAUGGGUCAACCCUUACGUUAUUGCCUGGUCUCUGUUCAGCUCCACCCCUUUCCCGUGUAGAUAUUUUCUCAUCCAUUUAUCUUAACUAACAGACGCAGAGAGAAAGAGAGAGAGGGGCUGUAGGUGUGGGUAAUUGUUGACCUCUGGAGAUGAUAACCUGAUGCAACAGCUAAUGAUGCUGUCUGCCAGUAGGGCCGUUACUACCUGACUUAUCGGCCCAAAUUUAGCCAAUCAAAUCGAAUCAAAUAAAAAAUUAUAGAUUUGAAAUAUGAGUUAAUUCCAUCAAUGAUAAUCCUAACUUUACAUUUUAUUAUUAUUUGGUCAUUAAAUUUUGAAAUGUUACCUGUUAGUUAGUGAUAUUUCAAAACGAUUACUUCUUAGUCACUGAACUUUGAAAUAUUACUUAUUAGUCACUGAUAUUUCAAAAUUGUUACUGUUUAGCUACUGAAUUUUAAAAUGUUACCUAUUAGUCCUUGAUAUUUCAAAACUGUUAAACUGAACUUUAAAAUAUUACCUAUUAGUCACUAAUAUUUCAAAACUGUUCCUCAUUCGUCACUCAUGAAUUUAAAGUUAAGUGACUAUCGAGUGAAGGGUGAAAAACGAUUUUAAAAUAUCAAUGACUAGCAGGUAAUAUUUUAAAAUUCAGUGAUUAAGCAGCAACAGUUUUGAAAUGUUAGUAAUUAAUAGGUAACAUUUUAAAGUUCGGUGACUAAGUAGUAACAAUUUUGAAAUAUCAGUGACUAACAAGUAACAUUUCAAAAUUCAGUGACUAAGCAGUAAUCGUUUUGAAAUAUCAGUGACUAACAGGUAACAUUUCAAAGUUUAGUGACCAAACAGUAAUAAAAUGCAAAGUUGAGUUAUUAUUGGUAUAAUUAACCCUUUGAAAUAUGGUUGGUUGGAUUCGAUUAAAAAAAAAAAGAGUCUAAUCGAUAGGAUUAGUUUGGUUUGUAGGUAUAGUAUUUCAAACUAGUUAAUCGGAUCAAUCCAAACCUAUGUACAUGUAAAAUUAUGUCAUUUAAGUUGCAAAUAUAUAUAUAUAUAUAUAUAUUGGACUUGUUGUUAGUUAAUUUUUGUUUAUUGGUUCAAUUUGGAGUUGUAAUUUUGAUUUUUUUAACUUUGUUGUUUGUUGGUUUGAUUGGACUUGUAAUUUAGAUUUGUAAGUUUGUAUUCUGUUUGUUAGUUAUUAGUUUAGUUGAAUGUUUAAUUUUAUAUUUGUAGUUAGACAUAAUUAUUAUUGUAUGUUGUAUGGUUGAUUUAAAUCUAUUAAAUUAUUUAUGGUUGAUUUAAAUGUAUUAAAUUUAAAUUGAUUUGACUUUUUGGAUUAAAAUCUCUUUAAUUAGUUUAAAAAAAUUCAAUCCAAUAACACAAAACUGAUAAAUGGAAACAAGAAUGG